rnacentral:rRNA from 1 species
UGGGAAUUUUGGACAAUGGGCGAAAGCCUGAUCCAGCAAUGCCGCGUGUGUGAAGAAGGCCUUCGGGUUGUAAAGCACUUUUGUCCGGAAAGAAAUCCUUGGCUCUAAUACAGUCGGGGGAUGACGUACCGGAAGAAUAAGCACCGGCUAACUACGUGCCAGCAGCCGCGGUAAUACGUAGGGUGCAAGCGUUAAUCGGAAUUACUGGCGUAAAGCGUGCGCAGGCGGUUUGCUAAGACCGUGUGAAAUCCCCGGGCUCAACCUGGGAACUGCAUUGGUGACUGGCAGGCUAGAGUAUGGCAGAGGGGGGUAGAAUUCCACGUNUAGCAGUGAAAUGCGUNGAGAUGUGGAGGAAUACCGAUGGCGAAGGCAGCCCCCUGGGCCAAAUACUGACGCUCAUGCACGAAAGCGUGGGGAGCAAAC